AUUGAACGCUGGCGGCAUGCUUUACACAUGCCAGUCGAACGGCAGCGCGGGCUUCGGCCUGGCGGCGAGUGGCGAACGGGUGAGUAAUACAUCGGAACGUGCCCAGUAGUGGGGGAUAGCUCGGCGAAAGCCGGAUUAAUACUGCAUACGACCUGAGGGUGAAAGCGGGGGAUCUUCGGACCUCGCGCUAUUGGAGCGGCCGAUGGCAGAUUAGCUAGUUGGUGGGGUAAAGGCCUACCAAGGCGACGAUCUGUAGCUGGUCUGAGAGGACGACCAGCCACACUGGGACUGAGACACGGCCCAGACUCCUACGGGAGGCAGCAGUGGGGAAUUUUGGACAAUGGGCGAAAGCCUGAUCCAGCAAUGCCGCGUGUGUGAUGAAGGCCUUCGGGUUGUAAAGCACUUUUGGCGGGAACGAAAAGGACUGUGCCAAUACCACGGUUCGAUGACGGUACCCGCAGAAUAAGCACCGGCUAACUACGUG
rnacentral:rRNA from 1 species